rnacentral:rRNA from 1 species
GCCUGUGAGCACCGCACGAGGAUGAGGGUGCUGGGCAGGCACGUCUCGCCGAGGCAGAUGGCGCUGCUCGCCGCAGGGCUGGUGUUCUUUGGGGCGACGACGUACGACGUGCACCGCUCCAUCAAGAACAACGACCAGCCCCCGACCAGGGACCAGGUGGCCGCGCUCCAGGACUUCAUCGACUCCAGGAAGCGCUAAUUUGGAUUUUGGGCCCGCCGAUGCUCGAUCGAUUCCCCCUGCCGGCGGCGCUGUGUGAUCUCUGUUCUGUGCUGCGUUCUUCUGAAGCAAUAAAAGCGGCCAUGGAUGUGUCGACAGUGUUAUAUUCCCCAAAGGAGGAACUGACUAGUGCGUAUGGAAUCUGUACACUAAGGAAUGGCUUGUAUUAUUAGUUGUGGAGUUGUGAUCAUCUCGACUCUCUCCUUGAAACAGCUAGCUAUAAUAAACUGCUGCAAUUUCAUAUGUUCACAUCUACCUCCGCAGUUCCUGUGAAAUGCAAGUAGUUUCUUCAACUAAUAUUAUGUUGUCCGCUUCAUGCCAGAGUCACUG